CAAACCUGCCUUAAGGAUGGGGAUAACAGACGGAAACGACUGCUAAUACCGAAUACGUUCUAAGCAUCGCAUGAUGCAUAGAAGAAAGGGUGGCCUCUACAAGAAAGCUAUCGCCUUAAGAGGGGUUUGCGACUGAUUAGGUAGUUGGUGAGGUAACGGCUCACCAAGCCGACGAUCAGUAGCCGGUCUGAGAGGAUGAACGGCCACAUUGGGACUGAGACACGGCCCAG
rnacentral:rRNA from 1 species